GAGUUUGAUCUUGGCUCAGGAUGAACGCUGGCGGCGUGCCUAACACAUGCAAGUCGAACGAAGCCUUCGGGCUUAGUGGCGGACGGGUGAGUAACACGUUGGUACCUGCCCUCUAGUGGGGAAUAACUGGCCGAAAGGUCAGCUAAUACCGCAUACGGUCGUAAGACCAAAGCCUUCGGGCGCUAGAGGAGGGGCCUGCGUCUGAUUAGCUAGUUGGUAGUGUAAUGGACUACCAAGGCGACGAUCAGUAGCUGGAUCGAGAGGUUGACCAGCCACACUGGGACUGAGAUACGGCCCAGACUCCUACGGGAGGCAGCAGUGAGGAAUCUUCCACAAUGGACGAAAGUCUGAUGGAGCAACGCCGCGUGCAGGAAGACGGCUUUCGGGUUGUAACUGCUUUAUUUGGAGAUUAUGACGGUACCAAUAGAAUAAGGACCGGCUAACUACGUGCCAGCAGCCGCGGUAAU
rnacentral:rRNA from 1 species